GUCCAGCUGAUUAGUCCCGAACAGGAUGAAACGCGUUUCCUGCAC
rnacentral:hammerhead_ribozyme from 1 species